UGCCAGCCGCCGCGGUAAUACGGGGGGGACAAGUGUUAUUCGAAAUGACUGGGCGUAAAGGGUCCGUAGGUGGUUAAUUAAGUUGAUAAGUAAAGAUUAGAGCUUAACUUUAAGAAACUUUUCAAAACUAAUUAACUAGAGUUUGGGAGAGGAUAGUAGAAUUUUUAGAGUAGGGCUAAAAUCCAAAGAUACUAAAAGGAAUAUCAGGAGCGAAGGCGACUAUCUGGAACAAUACUGACACUGAGGGACGAAAGCAUGGGUAGCAAACAGGAUUAGAUA
rnacentral:rRNA from 1 species